AUGAGCACUGCGAAACUCAAUGCAGUUGGACAUCGCUGGGUUGGAGAACUGUUAGAGUUCCACUUCAAUAUUAAAUACAGACCUGGAAAAAACAAUAUAGACGCGGACACGCUCUCACGCAUCCCACUCGAUAUUGACAACUAUGUGGCGAAAUGCACGGAGGAGCUGUCUCAGGAUGUGCUGCAUGCGACUUGGGAAGGGAGUAGAGCAGCCCAGAGGAAAGAUGUAGCAUGGAUAGCUGCACUUUACACCUCCUCUGCUGAUGUGAUACCACAACCUCAUUCACUCUUGCCCGAAAUAAGCCACGAAGAGCUGGCAAAAGCCCAACGAGAGGACCCUGGAAUAGGGGAAAUAAUUACAUUGAAAGAGUCAAAUAAUGUUCUUACUGAUGAGGUCAGAAGGUCAGUGAGUGGGCUCACUCGCAAACUCCUUCAUGAGUGGAAUCAACUACAUUUGGAGAAUGGAGUCUUGUACCGCCAAACACCAGAGAGAAAACAGUUAGUCCUACCCACCAAUUACCGGUCAGUUGCCCUAAAACAUCUCCAUGACAACAUGGGACACGUUGGCACAGAACGUGUGCUCCAUCUUGCCAGAGAACGUUUUUAUUGGCCACAGAUGAAGAGAUGCAUAGAGGAGUAUGUCACAAGAAAAUGCAGUUGCAUAAAACAAAAAAACCCCACCACACAUGUACGCGCGCCAAUGGGUGGCCUGACUUCUGCUUCCCCUCUCGAUCUGGUUUGCAUAGACUACUUACAUCUGGAGAAAAGCAAAGGAGGCUAUGAGUACAUUCUGGUAGUAAUAGACCAUUUUACCAGAUUUGCUCAGGCUUACCCAACCAGAAAUAAAUCGGGACAAACUGUAGCUGAACGGAUAUACAAUGACUACAUACCUCGUCUGGGUUACCCAAAUCGUCUCCACCAUGAUCAAGGACGCGAGUUUGAGAACAAUCUUUUCCGCACCCUUGGACGCCUGUCAGGGGUCGAACAUCCCCAUACCACCCACAAUGUAAUCCCGCUGAGCGGUUCAACCGCACAUUGCUGCAAAUGUUACGGACCCUAA
rnacentral:lncRNA from 1 species